rnacentral:rRNA from 1 species
UACGUAGGUGGCAAGCGUUGUCCGGAUUUAUUGGGUUUAAAGGGUGCGUAGGUGGCGCCGUAAGUCAGGUGUGAAAUCUCGGGGCUCAACCCCGAAACUGCACUUGAUACUGCGGUGCUCGAGUACUGGAGAGGAGAUUGGAAUUUACGGUGUAGCAGUGAAAUGCGUAGAUAUCGUAAGGAAGACCAGUGGCGAAGGCGAAUCUCUGGACAGUUACUGACACUGAGGCACGAAGGCCAGGGGAGGCAAAACGGG